ACUCCAGAAAUGGGAGCACAUUUAAUUGUACCCAUUCAAAAUGAGCAGAUUUUAACUUUCUCUUUUAAGAAAGCAUCAGUUAGAUUUAACUGAGUAGAUCCAGAAGUACUCAACUGAAUUCAGGCACAUCUGGACAAAUAUUCUUGAAAAAAUUCAUUUCAAUACCACAUACAUUUAUUAAGCACUUACCAGAUGCUAGGCCCUAGGUUAGAUACUAGGAAAACAAAGAGGAAAUACAACACAGUUCAUAUCUUCAAGGAGCAAAGGAGAAAGCCUGAUAAAAUGCUAGAAGAAAGUAUGAAGGGAAAAUCUUUUUCAACUAGGUUUCAUGGAAAUGACACUUGAAGUUGAGUCUUCAAAAGAGAGAAUUUCAAAAGUUGUUCAGGAAUAGGAAAUGAUCUGUGUAAGCGCCAACUUUAGAGAAUACAGGUAAAAUUGGGGAAACUUUGGCCAGUGCAAUUUGGCUAAGACAUAAAAGACAUGCAGAGGAAGGAGUGUGAAGGAAAAAAAGUUAAAGUUAAAUCGUGGAAGUGCUAGUUUAAGGAGUUUUUCUUUUAGCCUAUAGAUAGUAGAACUACUAAUGCAGAGAUGUGAUCUGAUUACACCAGAUGUCACUAAUGCAGAGAUGUGAUUUGAUUAUACAGGAUGUCCCAAAAGUCUUACUUGCUUUUUUAACCUUUCGAAGUUAAAAAUUAUUGUUUUGGAGCAUGGAUUAGACAGGAACCUGAGAAUGGAGAAGGAAAUAAGGUUAGUGCAACAUAACCUAGGAAAGAAGUAAUAUGGACCUCAAAUAGGUGGUAGAAGUAUUCCUGGAGAAGAAGAACCAGAUUCACAAAAUGUUUUAGAGGUUGAAUUGACAGGACCUUGAAAUGGAUUUGGGGUGAGGGAAAGAGUUGGAGAGAGAAAGGGGGAGGAAAGGUAAAAAAAAAAAAAAAAAAAGCUUUAAAGUUCUGUCCCUGGAUUACUGGAUAGAUAGUAGAACAUCAAUAAAAAUUUAAAAAUUGGAGAAGAAACAGGUUUCAAGAAGACUCAUUUUUAUCUGGUUACAUAAAUUUUCUUAGGCCAUCUGCACAUCUCAAAUAAUUCCAAACAAUGUCAAUUGUUACUCUUAUGCCACCACCAUAACUUCCAAGAUGAUUCUAGACAAACUUAAAUAAUUG
rnacentral:lncRNA from 1 species